CCCUUAGAUGUUCUGGGCCGCACGCGCGCUACACUGACGGAGGCAGCGAGCGUGUCCUUCGCCGGCAGGUGCGGGCAAUCUUGCGAGUCUCCGUCGUGCUGGGGAUAGAUGGUUGCAAUUGUCGAUCUUGAACGAGGAAUUCCUAGUAAGCGCGAGUCAUCAGCUCGCGCUGAUUACGUCCCUGCCCUUUGUACACACCGCCCGUCGCUACUACAGAGUGCCCGUGCCCAAGAAACGGUCGGACCUGUGCGGCCUCUCCGGGCGACCGGAGGGCCGUUACGGGGAAGACCCUUGAUUUGACGCGGGUCGAUGAAGUAAAAGUCGUAACA
rnacentral:rRNA from 1 species